UAUGAAGACUAUUAAACUGUCGCAAGACAUCUAUAGUAGGCUUUGGCGAUUAAAGGUUCAGUGGCAGGUGUCGUCUUUUGGAGAGCUUGCUGGUUUACUUCUGGUAUUCGUUGAGUCCUGCAGUUGCCAAAGACAUGAAGCACCUGAAUCUGAAGACUCCUUACCAUCUAAGCGAAUAAGAACUGAUGAUUCAAGAGAGUAUGAAGGUGUACUAAAUCUCUGCUCUACACCCAACCAGGUGAGACAAGGAAGACAACGGUUUGCCACACGUCUGAGUCCUAUCAGUCAGAAAUGGUAAAAUAUAUUUUAGAUGACAAUUUACGUUCUUGCCCACGAUAUUGUAUUAGUGAUCGAGGCAAUAGCUCAUAUAUUUUGAAGAUUGCUGCUUCUCGAUUGU